AACCUCCGCAAUGUGAGAAAUCGCGACGGGGGGAUCCCAAGUGCCAUUCUUAACGGGAUGGCUUUUCAUUAGUGUAAAGAGCUUUUGGAAUAAGAGCUGGGCAAGACCGGUGCCAGCCGCCGCGGUAACACCGGCAGCUCUAGUGGUAGCAAUUUUUAUUGGGCCUAAAGCGUCCGUAGCCGGUUUAAUAAGUCUCUGGUGAAAUCCUGUAGCUUAACUGUGGGAAUUGCUGGAGAUACUAUUAGACUUGAGACCGGGAGAGGUUAGAGGUACUCCCAGGGUAGAGGUGAAAUUCUGUAAUCCUGGGAGGACCGCCUGUUGCGAAGGCGUCUAACUGGAACGGUUCUGACGGUGAGGGACGAAAGUUAGGGGCGCGAACCGGAUUAGAUACCCGGGUAGUCCUAACUGUAAACGAUGCGGACUUGGUGUUGGGGUGGCUUUGAGCUGCUCCAGUGCCGAAGGGAAGCUGUUAAGUCCGCCGCCUGGGAAGUACGGUCGCAAGACUGAAACUUAAGGAAUU
rnacentral:rRNA from 1 species